GACACUGCCAAAAAUGGGGUUCCCGGUGCAAGACAGGGGAUCUGCCUCUGCUGACCCUGCUGUGCUGAGGGGGCCGCAGUCUGGUAAGGGCUCUGAUGACCCAGCCUCUGGCAGCCCAAGUACUUUCAGAUCCAUGAUUUCAGGGCACCCUCCAGAUACCCGCCAUGAAGCAGGUCUUGUGCAGGAGACAAAAUGGAGGCACAAUGAGAGCAGAAUCUGCAGUAGCAAGGGGAUAUUCUUUCCCAGGCCAAAACUUCUCAAGAGUCAGCCCCAAAGUCUGAAUGAAGAUCUUGAAGACUUCGAAUAGGCGUCCACUCAUCAGAUUCAACGAACAGAAGCCAAAGGAGAAACAGACUUGAGAGGUUUCCAUAGCCCAUGUGAAAGAUCAGUCCUUUGGGAACACUUUCCUGAGCCUCUGCCUAAAGUCAUUUUGCCUGCCCCUGACGACUCAACGAGCAGAUGCAAGGAAUGUGUUUGGUACAUGGAAGGCACCCAAAACACUUGAACUACUGUCUAAAAGUGGCUCGGGGAUUUCUGGUGAUUCACAUCAAAACUUUGGGCUUAGGGAUAGAGGCAAGUAAUAAAACACAUUUCUUCUGCAAAUUUUAUUUUCCAUUAGAAAACAAAUGCUAUUUAUGUCUCGCUUAAGGACUAAAGUUUUAACAUACCCAAGACUAUCUAAGUCAAUUCUUUCUAAUUGUAUAGUUUAUUAUCCAGCCUGACUUUUGAUUCAGAAAGUAUGGGUCCUGAAUUUCCUCUCUGCCUAAGAUAAGUCAUGAGCUAAGGAUGUCCUUGUCACCAAGCACAAGUUAUUCUUUUAGGGAAAUUAUACUUGACUUAGCUUGAGUUCACCUCUAGCUUUCCUGAGCAUACUCCCAUGAUUUAUUCCUAACACAACACUACGGAGAGAGGUUUUAAUUCAUAGUACAGAACCCUGAAACAUGUUCUCUCUGGAGAUUACCCCGGGAAUUGAGAGCCUGCCAAUUAAGCCUCUGUCUCUAAAUCGUUACUCCAGAUUAUUUGCAAUCACUGGACAUUGGCAAGCAAAUCUUCCUGUACCCUGGGGCCACAAAGUGUCCUACCUGGUCCUCAGCGAGGUGCCCAUUUAUUCAUCCAACAAGCACAUACAUACAGUUGUCCCUUUGUAUCCGUGGGGGAUUAGUUCCAGGAUCCAUGGAUGCUCAAGUCCUUUACAUAAAAUGGUGUAGAAUUUACAUAAAACCUCUCCACAGUCCUUCCCUAUGUUUAACUCAUCUCUAGGUUACUUAUAAUACCUGAUACAACAUAGAUGCUAUGUAAAUAGUUGUAAAUCAAAUGGAAAUGCUACGUAAGUAAAUAUUUGCCCGCACAUGGCCAAAUCGAGUUUUGCUUUUUGGAACUUUUUGGAUUUUUUAGAAUAAUCCAUAGUUGGUUGAAUUUGGGGAUGCAGAACUUGUGGAUUUGGUGGGCCAACUGUACUGACUUUCCAACAUGUGGGGGGAACUUGUAGGCACACCUUAGAGAUAGUGCAGGUUUGGUUCCAGACCACGGCAAUAAAGCAGACAUGU
rnacentral:lncRNA from 1 species